AGCUUUGUCUGCUUGGGCUUAGAGUGGAGAGCAGGAGCCUAAACUUAGCGAGAUAUCUCCUUUGCAUUUCCAAAAUUGGAGCACUUUGUUUACUAUACUGGGACGACUUAAAAGAAACAAGCAGGACAUGUGGAGUGUUGUUUCCUUUCCUCAAUUACCAGCAGAUCACAGGUGUUUAUCUGGCUCCCGGAGGUGAUUCAGGCCCUUGAAGACAGUUUAUGGGACCCUGCCCAGUAGGUGAACUAGAGAGAUAUGCACAUUGGAUGAAGUUCGAUCACUGGAAAAGAGCUACAAUGGUACCUGAGGAACAUCUAGGUGGUAGGACGAGGGUUUGGGGAGAGACCUUGGACCUGGCUGGGAAUAAUUAGAGAAGAUCCCAGAGAGCAGCUUCAGCCCUAGGGACGUCGGAUUCACAAGGAAAAGAUCCUGGCACAAUACCUGGUCAGGAGGAGACUGAGACUUUUCUAGGGUACUGAUGGGUCAGGUUCUAUAACUGUGUAGGAUGAAAGAAGAGGACAAGGUAGCUUCCUAUUUUUGCUAAUUAUUCUUGCUCACUGGAUACAAAGUUUCUGUCGCCCACUGUUUAGUUGUUUCAGUCAUGUUCCAUUCUUCAGGACCUCAUUUGGAGUUUUCUUGGGGAAGAAACUACAGGGUAAUUUUCUUCCCCACUUUAUCUUACAGAUGAGGACAUGGCAGCAAACAGGGUGAAGUGACUUGCCCAGGGUCACAAAGCUAGUAAGUCUCCAAGAUUUGAACUGAGGAAGAGGAGUCUUCCUGACUCCAAGUCCACAUCUCUAUCUGCUGCACAACCUAAAUGUCUAAAACAAUAUAAGAAGUUGAGAAGAAAAAAGAGAGAAAACAUGUACAUCUAUAGGUAGAUAUGAAAUAAAUACAAGGUAAUGUCAGUCAUCAUGGGGAAAGGUUCUAACUUAGGAAGAAGGAAAUAGCCCUUUAUUAAGUUCCAGGCAUGAUACUAAAUGGAGUACAUUUAUACUAACUGAUUGGAUUCUCAUCCUAACCUUGGGAGGUAGGCACCAUUAUUAUCGCUUCUUUACAUCUGAGGAAACUGAGGCCAUGCUUCUGUUUUCAGGCUUCUGUCAAGUGAUUUGGCCAGGGUCACACAACUAGUAAAUGCAUAAAGUUAGACUUGAACUCGGGGGUUCCUAUUUGCAGGUCCAGUGCUAUGCUACCUAGCUGCCUCCUUGAUUAAACUAAGAAUUCUAAACAGUGAAAAGUCAAUGCAGUGCAGGCAUGGGGCACAGCUAAUGCAGAGUCGUAGAGAUGGAAGAUGGAAUGUCUGUUUGAGAAACAGUAAGAAGGUUAAGUUGAUUGGAUGUAUAGUGUGUAGAAGGGAGUAAUAUAAACCAAGGCCAGAAAGGUAUAUAUACCUAGAAGUUAAAUAGUUAGAGAAAGUGAAUGACAAAAAGCCACCUUCCCAGAGGACCUUCUACUGAUUUUCUUGAGAUCAAGGCAAUGAUAGAUGACCACGUAUUCACAUGCAGAUAUAAUCCAUGAGAUAAUUUUUCACUAAAUAAUAGCAAUUUUAUAUAUCUCAUACAAUUGUUGGUGAUUUUUACCAAGUGACUUGAAUUAUUAAAAAGAAAGGGGAUUUAUAAAAAUAUGAACAAUACUUCUUUCCCAGGCCCUUUCCUUUUAAACACUGUAGAUGAAGAAAAGCUUGAAGUUUCAAGGCAUAAUUGCUUCCUCAAUUAAAUAGUCAAUUUAAAUAAAAGCACAAAAAAUAGGUGAUAUUGUCUCUGGAACUACCAUGUACAAUUUCAUGUUUAAACCUCAUAGUUGCAAACCUAGUGGUUUGUCCCAUAGUACUUCUCCCAAGUCCCUUUUCACUAGAAUAAGAUCUCUGUGUCAGAAUACAACUCAGGCCAAUUUUCACAUGAGGAAAUAAAUCAUGGCUGAAGUCCAAGGGUUCCUCGUCUCUUUAAUGUUUCAUUCUAAAAUAAAUCCCUUCGGGUGUUUGAAGAGGAGGUUGAGUGGUGUCUAAGAUCUCAUCUUUCUGGUUAUGGUUUUGUAGGGUCAACUGAGGAACACCAACACUAACUGGCCUAUUUGAAGGAAAUGAAACAACCGACUUUAAAUCCUUUCUUCAUUAAGAAGAUGAGAAACACUGAGUCAUCUUAUGCACCCCCCUCACCUUCUUCCUCCUCACUGUGUGAUUUUUUGACAAAGCAGGCUGCUUCUCAAAUUGUAUCUCAAUAUUGUAGAGAUAAUUUUGUCAUUAUUGAUAUCAUGGUUAUUCUUUACAGCUCAUUAUCAAUACUUGCCAAGCACCAACAUUAUCUUAUGAUCUAGGCAAAAUCCAAAUGAAACUUGGUCCCUCCCUACUGGAUUUGUAACCUAAACAUGAAGCUUUCUCCAUAUAGGGCAUUUCUGCUUCUCUGCAUUCAAUAGUAGUUAAUUGAUGCCUGCCCUUCACACAUGAGGUCUUCUGCAGCAGAUCUUCAUUGUACUGGUGCUGAGAGAGCUCAUAGAAGCAGUAGGAGGAAAGAGAAAGACGUAGUUCUACUAAUUGCUGCUUUAAAAGAAUUAAUUUGGCGUUUUGUUUUUAAAAGGGAAUCAGAGGUCCGUAUUCAUUCAGAGAGCCCGAUGACCCUCCUCACCAUUAGGAAUGUGGCCUUUCUUCCCUCCAUACUUCACACAAUUUGAAGACUUCCCCUUCAAAAAUGACCUUGAUGUGAUUUAAGUUGGAAAAA